rnacentral:rRNA from 1 species
GAUGGACGCUGGCGGCGUGCCUAAUACAUGCAAGUCGAGCGAACAGACGAGGAGCUUGCUCCUUUGACGUUAGCGGCGGACGGGUGAGUAACACGUGGGUAACCUACCUAUAAGACUGGGAUAACUUCGGGAAACCGGAGCUAAUACCGGAUAAUAUUUCGAACCGCAUGGUUCGAUAGUGAAAGAUGGCCCUGCUAUCACUUAUAGAUGGACCUGCGCCGUAUUAGCUAGUUGGUAAGGUAACGGCUUACCAAGGCAACGAUACGUAGCCGACCUGAGAGGGUGAUCGGCCACACUGGAACUGAGACACGGUCCAGACUCCUACGGGAGGCAGCAGUAGGGAAUCUUCCGCAUGGGCGAAAGCCUGACGGAGCAACGCCGCGUGAGUGAUGAAGGUCUUCGGAUCGUAAAACUCUGUUAUUAGGGAAGAACAAACGUGUAAGUAACUGUGCACGUCUUGACCGGACCUAAUCAGAAAGCCACCGCUAACUACCUGGCCACCACCGCCGUAAUACCUAAGUGGGCAGCGUUAUUCGGAAUUAAUGGGCCGUAAGCGCGCGUAGGCGGUUUUUUAGUCUGAUGUGAAAGCCCACGGCUCAACCGUGGAGGGUCAUUGGAAACUGGAAAACUUGAGUGCAGAAGAGGAAAGUGGAAUUCCAUGUGUAGCGGUGAGAUGCGCAGAGAUAUGGAGGAACACCAGUGGCGAAGGCGACUUUCUGGUCUGUAACUGACGCUGAUGUGCGAAAGCGUGGGGAUCAAACAGGAUUAGAUACCCUGGUAGUCCACGCCGUAAACGAUGAGUGCUAAGUGUUAGGGGGUUUCCGCCCCUUAGUGCUGCAGCUAACGCAUUAAGCACUCCGCCUGGGGAGUACGACCGCAAGGUUGAAACUCAAAGGAAUUGACGGGGACCCGCACAAGCGGUGGAGCAUGUGGUUUAAUUCGAAGCAACGCGAAGAACCUUACCAAAUCUUGACAUCCUUUGACCCUUCUAGAGAUAGAAGUUUCCCCUUCGGGGGACAAAGUGACAGGUGGUGCAUGGUUGUCGUCAGCUCGUGUCGUGAGAUGUUGGGUUAAGUCCCGCAACGAGCGCAACCCUUAAGCUUAGUUGCCAUCAUUAAGUUGGGCACUCUAAGUUGACUGCCGGUGACAAACCGGAGGAAGGUGGGGAUGACGUCAAAUCAUCAUGCCCCUUAUGAUUUGGGCUACACACGUGCUACAAUGGACAAUACAAAGGGCAGCGAAACCGCGAGGUCAAGCAAAUCCCAUAAAGUUGUUCUCAGUUCGGAUUGUAGUCUGCAACUCGACUACAUGAAGCUGGAAUCGCUAGUAAUCGUAGAUCAGCAUGCUACGGUGAAUACGUUCCCGGGUCU